rnacentral:rRNA from 1 species
UAACGAAUAUUCCGCAAUGGGCGAAAGCCUGACGGAGCGACGCCGCGUGCAGGAUGAAGUCUUUCGGGAUGUAAACUGCUGUCGGGGGUCAGAAAUUCUGAUCAGCCCCACAGGAAGCCUCGGCUAACUCCGUGCCAGCAGCCGCGGUAAUACGGAGGAGGCAAGCGUUGUUCGGAAUCACUGGGCUUAAAGCGCGUGUAGGCGGGGUGUAGGGUGUUUAGUGAAAGCCCUCGGCUCAACCGAGGAAUGGCUGGGCAAACCGACACUCUUGAGGCAGGCAGAGGUAACCGGAACCUUUGGUGGAGCGGUGAAAUGCGUAGAGAUCAAAGGGAACGCCGGUGGCGAAAGCGGGUUACUGGGCCUGAACUGACGCUGAGACGCGAAAGCGUGGGUAGCAAACA